rnacentral:rRNA from 1 species
CAGUAGCCGCGGUAAUGCGUAGGUGGCAAGCGUUGUCCGGAAUUAUUGGGCGUAAAGGACUCGCAGGCGGUUUCUUAAGUCUGAUGUGAAAGCCCCCGGCUCAACCGGGGAGGGUCAUUGGAAACUGGGAAACUUGAGUGCAGAAGAGGAGAGUGGAAUUCCACGUGUAGCGGUGAAAUGCGUAGAGAUGUGGAGGAACACCAGUGGCGAAGGCGACUCUCUGGUCUGUAACUGACGCUGAGGAGCGAAAGCGUGGGGAGCGAACUGGAUUAGAUACCCGAGUAGUCCCUGUCUCUUAUAA